UAUCCUUACAAUAACUCUAUGAAGUGACUGCAUUAUCUCCCCAGUUUACAGAUGAAACUAGGGGACAAAAGAGUUACACGAAGAUUUUCGUUGUGCUCUUAGUACUUGGCAACCAGAAGCUCUUGGACCUCCAGGUUUCUGGAUAAGGAAGCAACUCAAAUAAGACAUCAGUGAUGGUGCCAGCACUUUUUAUGAUGAGAUUUGUCUACCUAUGCUUUGGACGGAGUGUCCUGAAAUAGCCCUUCUGUAUUCUUUGGGAAACGGAAAUGGAGACAGUGAGAGGGUGGGAAGAAAACCCCUCACUUCAGAUCAUACCAACUGGACUUCCAAUACAGGAUCCCAUGUAAGGUCUACUUCUGGCCAGUGAAUUGAUGAGCAAGAAGUGAAAUGAGAAGCCCAAGGGAGGCUGCAGCCUCUGAGAUCUGUGCCAACUCUCUCCAACCACAGUCUUUCCAAUGGUUAAGGGGUACGUGGGCACCAUUGCUCUGGAAUACACAAUGAAGAGUUACCAGCCUAGUUGCAGCUGCUUGGAAAUAUUUUCGGUUGGACUUGCUGAAUAUCAAUGACAAAAAGCAAUCAGCCAGAAAGCCCUUAUUACAAAAGUAUGUGCCACUUUCCAAACAAUGUAAGGCUUUAAUGGCCAAAAUAAAAGAUGUUUUUCUUCUUGGUCUCUACCUGACAGAAAGAGGGAUCCCUGGGGUUCUUAAGAAAGAGGGCAUGUGAACCCCUGCUUUUCCUAAUUUGUAUGGAAGCUGCUUAUAUCAUAAAGAGUGAGGAUGAACGGGAACUAAGAAAUAUCAAGGUGACCUCUCUUACAAUUACAAACGAUAUACUAGUGCAAAUGAAUAGAAAAAGGAAAGAAAAAAUAAUAUGUUAAGAUCAGCUAGAAUAUAUAUUCCAGAGUUUGAGCAGUGGUUCUGCCCACAUACAACCUUUAGGGCAUGUACAUAAGCAGGGGUUGGUUUAGCAAGGAAACAGAAGUUUACCUGUUCCCCAGUGAUUUACAUGAAUGAUAACCCAAAACAAACUAGCAAUUAAAAAAAAUGGCCAAAAGUCACAUUCAUAUUUGUCUGGGAAUUCAUGUUGGAGUGAGGCCUUUUGGAAUUGUAACAAUGAAAUGUUAACAUUUUGAUCAUUUUAAUCAUCAUUCAUAAAUCUUGAAGUUUUGCCAAAGUAAAUACAUUUGCUUCGGGUUAAAAUGUACCAGUUUUGUAUUUUC